rnacentral:rRNA from 1 species
AUUGAACGCUGGCGGUAUGCUUAACACAUGCAAGUCGAACGAUGAGAAAGAGCUUGCUCUUUCGAUUAGUGGCGGACGGGUGCGUAACGCGUAGGAAUCUACCUAUUAGUGGGGGACAACUUAGGGAAACUUAAGCUAAUACCGCAUACGCCCUACGGGGGAAAGAAGGGGAUCGCAAGACCUUUUGCUACUAGAUGAGCCUGCGUAGGAUUAGCUAGUUGGGGGGGUAAAAGCUCACCAAGGCGACGAUCCUUAACUGGUUUGAGAGAAUGAUCAGUCACACUGGAACUGAGACACGGUCCAGACUCCUACGGGAGGCAGCAGUGGGGAAUAUUGGACAAUGGGCGAAAGCCUGAUCCAGCAAUACCGCGUGUGUGAAGAAGGCCUUAGGGUUGUAAAGCACUUUCAAUUGGAAGGAAAACCUCGAAGCUAAUACCUUCGAGUUUGACAUUACCUUUAGAAGAAGCACCGGCUAACUCCGUGCCAGCCGCCGCCGUAACAC